CUUUGCUUCCAUCUAUAAAUAAUAUUAUGAAAUACUUUUAUAUAGUGACAUAACUAUUGCUAUGCCCAUAUGCAUUGCCCAAUAGAAUACACAUUACAUUUUCUAUUUUAUGUGAUACAGACUUUAUUUAGCAUAUGUAUUUAUGUCGUGUUUAUAUACAUACUACUUUUAGGUCAUCAACAUCAGUGUGUGCUAAUUUGGGACUUCGGGCAAUAUUGGUGAUGCCUGGGAAAAAAUCCAGAGCCUGCCACCAUCAUGCAGAUGUGGAAAUCCAAAUCCAAUCCAGUUCUAUGGUACCAAAUCCAUAGAACUAACUUUAAUAAGAGGCACUGCUUAUUUACUUGAUUAUUUUCUUCCCUUUAAUACUUUGUGUUUUACAGACAUGACUGUGUGUGGUCACUGUUGAGCUGUGAGUGCAAAGUGAUAUUUACUUUUGGGAAUGAAAAUGCUUCAAAUGCUCUGUCUAAAUCUGUGAGCUGCUGUUUGAGAAGACAGACACAUGAGUUGAGGCAGGAAAGUGAUUUUAUGCUGUGCUGUAGUUGAAUCUCUUCAGCAGUGCCUAAAGGUUAAUUUUGAUGAAGUCCUUAUCAUUAAAGAUUGCUUGAUGGCAAUUAUUUGUGGAUGUUCAUAAAUGGAUGUAGAACACAUGUAUAGAAGUAAACAGGGAAACAGGGAGAGGAACAGAGAAAGCAUGUAAUCAGUUGUCUCAUGUUUGUAAUGAAGCAGCAUGUGUCUGCAGUUCACUUGGCCUCUGCCAUGUCUCUCAAAAAAGACAACCUAAUGAUGUUGGAACUUCUGCUCUAUCUUUGAAUGGAAGAAAAUGAGUCUUUUCAAGAACCAAAUCAAAAUUGCAUGACUGUAUAUAUAUAGAAAGAAAAGCUAUAUUGGGAACUAGUUGUAGAGAGUUGUCUAGACAAUUUAUUUUCUACUAAGGAGUAGUCACUCAUCUUGUACUCUAUAGGAGAUGCAUUUUAUUUACUGAAAAAAGAACUUGUCUUCUGGUAAAAGGUGGCUUUCUUAAUGUCUCUUGUCCGUCCCUCAGACUGGAAGACAGGGAGAGACGUUUAGAUGCCAUUAACAUAACACCCAAUGGGUUGUAUUAAGUACAAUAAACAUCUUGUGAAUUCAGUGACUACUGGAGCACUUGCUCUCUCCCCGUGCAGAAAUGGCAAACGUGGAAUAAUCAGUAUUUUUAGUGUAUGCAGCUUGGCUAAUUCCAGUGUUUUAUGUGAGAUCUGACAGGCAACAGCAUAGUCCAAUAUUCUGGGAGCAGGCAGAAAGGCAAUGAGUAAUGUUAAUCAGGUGAAUUCAAGUGCAAAAUAUGCAGGGAGUAGCAGGCUACAGACAGAGAAGUCUGCAAUGGGGAUGAUGCAGUAUUUGCCAUGUACAUAAGCUCUUGCUUGUUUGUUUUGCCAUUUGUAGGAUCCAGCAAUACCUUUCUUGAACAAAGAAUACCAAAUCUUGUUGCAAUAGCCAUGGAUUGGCCAGCAGAGGAAAUCACAGCAUCAGAGCAGAAAUGAGGAUUUUUGGAUUCCAGUGCUAACCAAGCUUAUGAGAACUACUUAAGAAAUGGGGAAUUUAACAGUAUUGCUGUCAACUGCUAUGAAGAAUUACUACACUAGAGGAAGAAAAGCCAGACCUCCAAAACUGUCACAAAAGAAACCUCGCACAUCUACCUUCUUGUGUUGGAAGCAGAAAGCUCCUUUUCUGGAAAGCUGUGUGGUACCUUUAGAUUAUGAUAGAAGGAAUAGUGCAGAUGCAGACUUUACCUUUGAAGAAAGGAAAUCUAGAGUAAGCUAGAGAGGAACUUCCUAGAACCCCUGUACCAGAGUGUAGUCACUGUUUUAUAGAAAAUGUGACUCUUUAACAUCAACUAUAUGGAAGAAGGGGGGAGAGAGUAUUAGAAAAGCAAUACCACCUCUCACAGCCUUACCCAACGAAUAGUUUUUAAAUCAUCAUAUCUUUCAUCCAUAAGUAGAAAUAAAGCCAUUCUCAGAAUUGUGAUGUUGUUGAAA